CCUACGGGCGGCAGCAGUAGGGAAUCUUCCACAAUGGGCGCAAGCCUGAUGGAGCAACACCGCGUGAGUGAAGAAGGGUUUCGGCUCGUAAAGCUCUGUUGUUGGAGAAGAACGUUCGUGAGAGUAACUGUUCACGCAGUGACGGUAUACAUCCAGAAAGUCACGGCUAACUCCGUGCCAGCAGCCGCGGUAAUACGUAGGUGGCAAGCUCUAUCCGGUUUUUUUUGGCGUAAGGCGAGCGCAGGCGGUUGCUUAGGUCUGAUGUGAAAGCCUUCGGCUUAACCGAAGAAGGGCAUCGGAAACCGGGCGACUUGAGUGCAGAAGAGGAGAGUGGAACGCAAGGUGUAGCGGUGGAAUGCGUAGAUAUAUGGAAGAACACCAGUGGCGAAGGCAGCUGUCUGGUCUGCAACUGACGCUGAGGCUCGAAAGCAUGGGGAGCGAACAGGAUUAGAUACCCGGGUAGUC
rnacentral:rRNA from 1 species